rnacentral:rRNA from 1 species
AUGGCCGGUCCCGCUGAUCGCCUCGCCCAGUCGGGGCGCCGGCGCCGCGAGCUCGAGGAGGGCGAGGUCGUCUCCGGCUACAGCACGGGCUCCGACACCGACACCGACGACGAGGACGCGCGCUACUACCUCCACCCAGUGCCCCACCGCGACGACCGCCGGGCGAUGAUGGUCACCGUCGCGCGGCCCGGCCCUGUCCCUGUACUGGAGGACGUGUUCGUCGUCGGCGGCACCGCCGUCUCAAGAUCAAGAUUGGCUACCCUGGACUCUUCGCCCACCUCCUCGCUCCGCUCCGACGGGACCAUCAGAGACGUCGACCGCGCAGGGGGCGAUGCUGCUGCCACCACCGCAUUAUUCCCGGCCUGCCCCGUCUGCCACAGGCAGUUCCACAGCUCCAAGGCCGUGCAUGGCCACAUGAGGGUCCACGCGCAGGCGCAGCCCAGGGAGGAGGACAAGGUGUCUGCUGCUGUCAGCGUCGUGGACGACUCCGUGUCCGUGUCCAUGCCCAAUGUCGUCGCGGAGCCCAAGAUCUUGGACGAUCCCAUGCCCGUGGAGGUGGCCAGCAGCCAUCAGGUUGUCCCCGGCAGCGGCAGCGGCAGCAGCGCAGGCGUGGAGCCCAGUCAGAGUGCUGCUGAUCUUUCCAUGGCCAUCGUGGUGGCAGAGGGAGCACCACCGGCCGCUGCACCCAAGCAAGUCGACAUCGCCCCAACGCCUCCUGCACCCCAGCAAGUCCCCGUCCCCCCUCCGGUCGCGCCAGCACCAGAGCCAGCCGUCGUGUACCUCCACCAGCCCGCCCCCGCACAGCAGCAUGCCUUCGUCCCCCCACCGCAGGCCGCGGCGCCGCUGCAUGCCUUCCACGGGCCGCUGCACAUGAUCCCGCACCAGGACCCGGCCGCCCCGCGUGGGUUCUCGUGCAAGGAGUGCUACCGGUGGUUCCCGACGCACCAGGGACUGGGCGGCCACGUCGCCGGCCACAAGAACCGGCGGAUCGCGGCAGCGGCCGCCGCAGCCAUAGCCGCGGGGAUCGACCCGAUUGACCACGCCGCGGGCGCGCCCAGGCCGGCGAGACAGCACACCUGCAAGGUCUGUGGCGCCGUGUACAGCAGCGGCGUCCGACUCGGGGGCCACAUGAGGAAGCACAGGCAAGCCCAUCGUGCCGAGGAAGCGGGCGCGCCUCCUCCUUCCCCCGGAUCACCUCGGGCUCGCAUUGCCCGGACCGGCGCCACAGGCACCAGCUGCCGAGGUGGCAGUGCAGCCGCCGCAGGCGCCAGCGGUGCCGGCGGGAUGCCUGAGGAUCUUCGGCGUCACCAUCAUGCAGGAGGCGAAGGAGGAGGAGCCCCCCGUCGCCGUCGAGGACAAGCAGUGAUCGAUGAAUACGGCAAACAUGCAGUUUUGAUACAGUAUAUAGUACUCGUAUAA